rnacentral:lncRNA from 10 species
UUCUAGAUUUCUUCUGAAUUUUGUCCUUGGAGGUGUGGGAAGAAUGAAUAUUGAAUAUUCAUACUCAACAUGAAUAUUUUGGAAGCUGGGCCUGAAAGUUAAGGUUCACUGAAAGCUAAAAAUGAGAUGAACUCAGUGAAAGUACUGUGGAAAGAGGCACCUGGCUGGAUAUUUGAAUCUUCUUAACCCUGAGCUCUGCUUCAGUCUCAUCUGUUGUGUUCAUGACAUGACUCUCUAAUCACUAUGGGCAAUUGGGAAAAUGGUUAUUUUCAAAAAGAAAUUGACUUGUCUCUUCGUAGUUUAAUGUAGAAGCAGGUAUAGUUUGGUUAUGGUGAAAUCUGGUCCAAUGACGGCAUCCACAGAUGAGGCCAAAGCUUGAAUGCCCUUGGAGCCUAUACUGCUUUUAGGCCCUGGCAGAAACAUGGUUUUUAAAUCACAUUCCAAAGUGCAAUUACCAACAAUGAAUAAAUACAUCAUAACAAUGGGGGAAGCAGAAAAUGACUUUAGAAAGACAGAGUGAU